rnacentral:rRNA from 1 species
CCCUUAGAGUUUGAUCCUGGCUCAGGAUGAACGCUAGCUACAGGCUUAACACAUGCAAGUCGAGGGGCAGCAUGAACUUAGCUUGCUAAGUUUGAUGGCGACCGGCGCACGGGUGAGUAACACGUAUCCAACCUGCCGAUGACUCGGGGAUAGCCUUUCGAAAGAAAGAUUAAUACCCGAUGGCAUAGUUCUUCCGCAUGGUAGAACUAUUAAAGAAUUUCGGUCAUCGAUGGGGAUGCGUUCCAUUAGGUUGUUGGCGGGGUAACGGCCCACCAAGCCUUCGAUGGAUAGGGGUUCUGAGAGGAAGGUCCCCCACAUUGGAACUGAGACACGGUCCAAACUCCUACGGGAGGCAGCAGUGAGGAAUAUUGGUCAAUGGACGAGAGUCUGAACCAGCCAAGUAGCGUGAAGGAUGACUGCCCUAUGGGUUGUAAACUUCUUUUAUACGGGAAUAAAGUGGAGUAUGCAUACUCCUUUGUAUGUACCGUAGAAUAAGAUUGGC